rnacentral:rRNA from 1 species
GCCUCCCAAAAGGUAACGGAGGCGCGCAAAGGUUCUCUCAGUACGGUCGGAAAUCGUACGUAGAGUGUAAAGGCAAAAGAGAGCUUGAUUGCAAGACAUACAGGUCGAGCAAGGAUGAAAAUCGGACUUAGUGAUCCGGUGGUUCUGCGUGGAAGGGCCAUCGCUCAACGGAUAAAAGCUACCCUGGGGAUAACAGGCUUAUCUCCCCCAAGAGUCCACAUCGACGGGGAGGUUUGGCACCUCGAUGUCGGCUCAUCACA